AUACGUAGGGGGCGAGCGUUGUCCGGAAUGAUUGGGCGUAAAGGGCGCGUAGGCGGCCCGGUAAGUCUGGAGUGAAAGUCCUGUUUUUAAGAUGGGAAUUGCUUUGGAUACUGUCGGGCUUGAGUGCAGGAGAGGUAAGUGGAAUUCCCAGUGUAGCGGUGAAAUGCGUAGAGAUUGGGAGGAACACCAGUGGCGAAGGCGACUUACUGGACUGUAACUGACGCUGAGGCGCGAAAGUGUGGGGAGCAAACAGGAUUAGAUACACUGGUAGUCCACUCUGUAAACGAUGAAUGCUAGGUGUAGGGGGUAUCGACCCCUUCUGUGCCGCAGUCAACACAAUAAGCAUUCCGCCUGGGGAGUACGGCCGCAAGGUUGAAACUUAAAGGAAUUGACGGGG
rnacentral:rRNA from 1 species